GAAUUCGCCCUUAGAGUUUGAUCCUGGCUCAGGACGAACGCUGGCGGCGUGCCUAACACAUGCAAGUCGAACGGGGAUAGAUUGAAGGUUUACCUGAUAUCUAUUCUAGUGGCGGACGGGUGAGUAACGCGUGAGCAAUCUGCCUUGUACUGGGGGAUAACGUCGAGAAAUCGGCGCUAAUACCGCAUAAUACUAUUAGAUCGCAUGGUCAUAUAGUCAAAACUCCGGUGGUACAAGAUGAGCUCGCGUCCAAUUAGCUAGUUGGUGAGGUAAUGGCCCACCAAGGCGACGAUUGGUAGCCGAACUGAGAGGUUGGUCGGCCGCAUUGGGACUGAGACACGGCCCAGACUCCUACGGGAGGCAGCAGUGGGGAAUAUUGCGCAAUGGGGGAAACCCUGACGCAGCAACGCCGCGUGAAGGAUGAAGGCUUUCGGGUUGUAAACUUCUUUGAUCGGGGACGAAUAAUGACGGUACCCGAGGAACAAGCCACGGCUAACUACGUGCCAGCAGCCGCGGUAAUACGUAGGUGGCGAGCGUUGUCCGGAAUUACUGGGUGUAAAGGGCGUGUAGGCGGGAUGUCAAGUCAGAUGUGAAAUUCCGAGGCUUAACUUCGGGGGUGCAUCUGAAACUGAUAUUCUUGAGUGUCGGAGAGGAAAGUGGAAUUCCCAGUGUAGCGGUGAAAUGCGUAGAGAUUGGGAGGAACACCAGUGGCGAAGGCGGCUUUCUGGACGAUAACUGACGCUGAGGCGCGAAAGCGUGGGUAGCAAACAGGAUUAGAUACCCUGGUAGUCCACGCUGUAAACGAUGAUUACUGGUUGUUUGCGAUACACUGCAAGGGACUGAGCGAAAGCACUAAGUAAUCCACCUGGGGAGUAGGUCGGCAACGAUGAAACUCAAAGGAAUUGACGGGGGCCCGCACAAGCGGAGGAACAUGUGGUUUAAUUCGAUGAUACGCGAGGAACCUUACCUGGGUUUAAAUGGGGAGUGACAGGCUUGGAAACAGGCCCCUCUUCGGACACUCUUCAAGGUGCUGCAUGGUUGUCGUCAGCUCGUGCCGUGAGGUGUCGGGUUAAGUCCCAUAACGAGCGCAACCCCCAUCGAUAAUUACCAGCACGCUACGGUGGGGAGUCUAUCGAGACUGCCGGUGUAAACCGUGAGGAGGGGGGGGAGGACGUCAAAUCAGCACGGCCCUUACAUCCAGGGCUACACACGUGUUACAAUGGCCGGUACAAAGGGCAGCUACACAGCGAUGUGAUGCUAAUCUCCAAAUCCGGUCUCAGUUCGGAUCGAAGUCUGCAACCCGACUUCGUGAAGCUGGAUUCGCUAGUAAUCGCGCAUCAGCCAUGGCGCGGUGAAUACGUUCCCGGGCCUUGUACUCACCGCCCGUCA
rnacentral:rRNA from 1 species